AUUCUUGUUUUUAUCAUUUUAUUUGAGAUAGUAUAGAAUUUACAUUUAAAGAAACUAUUCAAUCAUAGCACAGUAUGCUUUGAAGAAAACAUUAUGCUCCUAAGUACUGGGUGGAACUAAUCACAUGAAUCACUCACUUGUAGCAAGCAUCAAAUCAUUAGACACAAUGAAUAUAAGGCAACAAUAAAUCAUGUUUGACAAAAGUCAAAACAGAAGUGCAUCCUUCUAAUAAAAACAUUAAAUGAACAAAAAGUUCAGUUCAACUAGAAAAAUGAAAUGUCAUUUUUCAAGAAGUUAAAAAAAAUCAGAUCUAUUAAUAGAAUUAUUUGAUUAGUUCUGUUUUAAAAAUAACAUUUCAUUAGCAUAAAUAAAAGCCAUUUGUAUUGAGAUAGGAGAUGGACUAACUAUUAUCUCAGAUAUAAAUUUAGAAGUGUGUACCAAAUUUGAAUCUUUCACUAAGAUAUUCAAACAGGGAAAAAGCAUGUUUCUAAUUUAAAUUUAUCCGGUUGGCCAAAAACAAACCUGGUAUUUUAAAAGCAAUAACUACAUUUUAUCACAAGUCAUAGGGUGGAAACAUAAAAACUGAGUAAACCUGAAGGAAACAAUUGUUUUUUUUUUAAAUGUUUGAAUGACUUCAACAGGACCUCAACAACACACUGUAAGACCAUAAGUUAUGUAUUUCAGAUAGUUGUCUGAAUGAAAAUGUUCAAAAUAAAAAAAGUAAAUAAAUAGUAAAAAAAAAUACACAGUAAUUAAAUGAAAAAAAGAAAUCUUAAGAAAAUUAAAAAUGAAACUAAAUAUAAAAACAUUUCAAAAUAUUAAUAUUCUUCAAAAUAUCAAAAAUGUUAAUAGAUUAUAUUAAUUGUGGUCAGAAAUAUUCUAUCACUAUAGAAGAUUUACUCUAACUGAUAAAGAUAGUUAUUCUACACUAUAAUAGACUGACAUUGGGUUAUGUCAAGACAAUAAUUUCCCCCCAAAUUUUUUAAAUGGUAAAAUCAUUUAAUUGCUUAAAUGUUAUUUGAUUUUUCUUUUAUUUAAUUAACUUAAACCGAAAAAAAAAAAGAAAGAUAAAUAGUAGUUUUUUUUAAUGCAUAAAAAAAAAUCAAACUAUAUAUAUAUAUAUAUAUAUA